GCCUCCAUAGCUUAAUGGUAAAGCACCCGCCUCUUAAGCGGAGUAUCCAAGUCCGAUUCUUGGUGGAGGCA
rfam:Parcubacteria (Azambacteria) bacterium GW2011_GWB1_42_72 TV45_C0012, whole genome shotgun sequence.